UAGGGAAUCUUCGGCAAUGGACGAAAGUCUGACCGAGCAACGCCGCGUGAGUGAAGAAGGUUUUCGGAUCGUAAAACUCUGUUGUUAGAGAAGAACAAGGACGUUAGUAACUGAACGUCCCCUGACGGUAUCUAACCAGAAAGCCACGGCUAACUACUUGCCAGCAGCCGCUGUAAUUCGUAGGUGGCAAGCGUUGUCCGGAUUUAUUGGGCGUAAAGCGAGCGCAGGCGGGUUCUUAAGUCUGAUGUGAAAGCACCCGGCUCAACCGGGGAGGGUCAUUGGAAACUGGGAGACUUAAGUGCAUAAGAGCAGAGUGGAAUUCCAUGUGUAGCGGUGAAAUGCGUAGAUAUAUGGAGGCACACCAGUGGCGAAGGCGGCUCUCUUGUCUGUAACUGACGCUGAGGCUCGAAAGCGUGGGGAGCAAACAGG
rnacentral:rRNA from 1 species